UAGGUGAACCUGCGGAAGGAUCAU
rnacentral:ncRNA from 14 species